GUAUGGCAGAGUAGGAGGAGACCUGAGUUGAGCAGAAAUGUGGAUGAUUUAUAAUAAUUGUUUGCGAGUUAAUCGUAGGUGCCCUGUGAAAAGAGGGAAGCCUGACUGAAGGUAGUAUAUCCAAGAGUAGAGUGAGUGAUGAUGUGUUGAUAAAGGCAAUGUGGGUACAAUGUUUAAAAGAGAGAUUGGAAGAAGGCAUAGGUUUAAGUAAAGUGAGAAAGAGUCCCAAGAGUUCUUAGAGGUGAAUGAACAAAGGUGUGGUUGGAGUGUAUAGAUGUAAGAGACAAUGACUAGCAAGUUGAUGAUGUUUGAGACCUGUUAUGAAAUUUGAUCAUGAGAGUUGCACUAUUGAGUUUUUGGAGAUUUGUAUGAGCCGGAUGAUGAGAGUAAGACCCGUGACUGUUUAAAUUAGGAAGAGAGUAGAAGGUGUUUGAAGACCCUAUUGCAGAUGCAGAGCGAGAAGUAAAGUGUUGUUAUAGUGACAGUUGCUGUAUAUGUAAGGAGUACAGAAAGUGUAAUUGAUGGCCCUUCCCAUUGAGGCAUACAUGUUGAUUGUUGUUUGGAACGAGAAGCUCCCACGUAAAUCCAACAUUAUAGAAAUUAUGUUAAUUUACGAUGUGUGUCGAAAUGAUGUAGAUACCUGAUGUGAGGUGAAAUUUAGAAUGGAGGCGUGUGUGUGUGGGGACGUAGCUCUUUCCCAAUCCAUAGACCUAAUUAUUUCAGUAAUGUGUGGUGGAGAACAAUGAUAGUGAGGAUGUAUUUGUGUGUGACGGGAUAAAAAGUUUUAUUGGUACCCCUAUUUGGCAAAUGAGUUGUACUGAUGUUGAGAACAGGAAAUGUUAAAAAUGUUUGAUGAUGAAGGUGAAACUUGAUGAAGGUAAUGGAGAGUCGCUUUGUGGAGUGUGAUUGUGUUACUAUUAAAAUUUGUAGAAGUUCUAAAGAGUCCACUUGUGGAGAGGUUAUUAGCUAUUGUGAAGUGAAAUACAGUGAAGACUAGUAAAUAAAGAGACACUUGAGCGACCCUUGGUUAUUGAUGAGAUUGUAAAGAAGGUUUAUAUUGUGUCCGGUUAUUUUGUUUGUUGUGGCUUAGUGUAAAAGAAUUUACCCUUUGACAUGUGUUAUGGAGGUAGAAAGGUGUAGGAAGUACAGUCCCUUAAUAUUUCGAAUACGAGAGGAAAUGAAAUGAUAUAGUGGAGACAUGUAACGUGUGAUAGAGUGUGUAUGAAGUAGUUGGUAUGUGCGUGAUGUGGAGGUUUAUGAAAUUGGAGUAAUGUGGUAAUUAGAAAUGAUGAAGGUACUGAAGUAGUGAUGUUCUAGUUUUCGAAAGAAUGGAGUAACCGAUGGUGUAUGGUUUGAAGUAGAGUUAAAAAUGUGAGUAAGGUGAAGUUGAUGUUAAAUUUUGUAUAGGUGUUGCAAUACAAGGUUGGAGAAUGGUGCAGAGAAGGUAAAAAAAGGUUGUGUCUGUGUAGAGGUUAAUGUUUAGCAGAGGAAAUGAAACAUUACCCCAGAGAAAAUGUAAAAAAGUUAGGAAUGAGGUGUGGUAGUGAAGAGGUGUGAUGAAGUGAAGUCGAAUUGCUGAGUUUGGUGGUGAAUGGUUUGUGAACUAAUGUUGCCCCUGUCCGUCCUGCCUACAAGAUUAGAGUUUGGACAGUUAGUGAUACGGUGAUCUAGUAGUGUGUGUGACUCGACGAAAUGAUAAUCCAUUGAGGUGAAUAUGUAUUGUCCCAGAGAGUAUAAUAUCCUUUGAAGUUGGUAGAGAGAUGUACGAAUAGAAGACCAAUCAAAUAAUAAUUCACUUUGGAUAAGGUAGCGAGGAUGAGGGAAUUGAAGGCUAGUGUAGAAAGUAGAAAAGAGACAAAAUGCAUGUUGGUUUGAUUGUUAUGAAAGAAAUUUUGUUCCCCCUGUAGAAUGAUCCCCUAAAAAUUAGGAUAGUUGAUAAGGGUUUAUAGGUUUAUUCUCAAAAUAUUUAGAAUGUAGGUGAUGUGUAUGAGCUGAAUACACUGAAAAGAGAGUAUUUUGUGAGAAUGGAGUUUAUAUGGUAUGAGGUGGAGAUUCCCUUGCCGAGGCAAUUGUUAAUCCUUGGAUGUCCCUUGUGGGAGCUGGUAGCAAGUUGAAGAUAUGAAUAUAAAUGAAAAAGUAGGUAUUGGUGCAGUUGUCACGCUAUGUAUGGCAGAGUAGGAGGAGACCUGAGUUGAGCAGAAAUGUGGAUGAUUUAUAGUAAUUGUUUGCGAGUUAAUCGUAGGUGCCCUGUGAAAAGAGGGAAGCCUGACUGAAGGUAGUAUAUCCAAGAGUAGAGUGAGUGAUGGUGUGUUGAUAAAGGCAAUGUGGGUACAAUGUUUAAAAGAGAGAUUGGAAGAAGGCAUAGGUUUAAGUAAAGUGAGAAAGAGUCCCAAGAGUUCUUAGAGGUGAAUGAACAAAGGUGUGGUUGGAGUGUAUAGAUGUAAGAGACAAUGACUAGCAAGUUGAUGAUGUUUGAGACCUGUUAUGAAAUUUGAUCAUGAGAGUUGCACUAUUGAGUUUUUGGAGAUUUGUAUGAGCCGGAUGAUGAGAGUAAGACCCGUGACUGUUUAAAUUAGGAAGAGAGUAGAAGGUGUUUGAAGACCCUAUUGCAGAUACAGAGUGAAAAGUAAAGUGUUGUUAUAGUGACAGUUGCAGUAUAUGUAGGGUGUACAGAAAGUGUAAUUGAUGGCCCUUCCCAUUGAGGUAUACAUUCUGAUUGUUGUUUGGAACGAGAAGCUCCCACGUAAAUCCAACAUUAUAGAAAUUAUGUUAAUUUACGAUGUGUGUCGAAAUGAUGUAGAUACCUGAUGUGAGGUGAAAUUUAGGAUGGAGGCGUGUGUGUGUGGGGACGUAGCUCUUUCCCAAUCCAUAGACCUAAUUAUUUCAGUAAUGUGUGGUGGAGAACAAUGAUAGUGAGGAUGUAUUUGUGUGUGACGGGAUAAAAAGUUUUAUUGGUACCCCUAUUUGGCAAAUGAGUUGUACUGAUGUUGAGAACAGGAAAUGUUAAAAAUGUUUGAUGAUGAAGGUGAAACUUGAUGAAGGUAAUGGAGAGUCGCUUUGUGGAGUGUGAUUGUGUUACUAUUAAAAUUUGUAGAAGUUCUAAAGAGUCCACUUGUGGAGAGGUUAUUAGCUAUUGUGAAGUGAAAUACAGUGAAGACUAGUAAAUAAAGAGACACUUGAGCGACCCUUGGUUAUUGAUGAGAUUGUAAAGAAGGUUUAUAUUGUGUCUGGUUAUUUUGUUUGUUGUGGCUUAGUGUAAAAGAAUUUACCCUUUGACAUGUGUUAUGGAGGUAGAAAGGUGUAGGAAGUACAGUCCCUUAAUAUUUCGAAUACGAGAGGAAAUGAUAUGAUAUAGUGGAGACAUGUAACGUGUGAGAGAGUGUGUAUGAAGUAGUUGGUAUGUGCGUGACGUGGAGGUUUAUGAAAUUGGAGUAAUGUGGUAAUUAGAAAUGGUGAAGGUACUGAAGUAGUGAUGUUCUAGUUUUUGAAAGAAUGGAGUAACCGAUGGUGUAUGGUUUGAAGUAGAGUUAAAAACGUGAGUAAGGUGAAGUUGAUGUUAAAUUUUGUAUAGGUGUUGCAAUACAAGGUUGGAGAAUGGUGCAGAGAAGGUAAAAAAAGGUUGUGUCUGUGUAGAGGUUAAUGUUUAGAUGAGGAAAUGAAACAUUACCCCAGAGAAAAUGUAAAAAAGUUAGGAAUGAGGUGUGGUAGUGAAGAGGUGUGAUGAAGUGAAGUCGAAUUGCUGAGUUUGGUGGUGAAUGGUUUGUGAACUAAUGUUGCCCCUGUCCGUCCUGCCUACAAGAUUAGAGUUUGGACAGUUAGUGAUACGGUGAUGUAGUAGUGUGUGUGACUCGACGAAAUGAUAAUCCAUUGAGGUGAAUAUGUAUUGUCCCAGAGAGUAUAAUAUCCUUUGAAGUUGGUAGAGAGAUGUACGAAUAGAAGACCAAUCAAAUAAUAAUUCACUUUGGAUAAGGUAGCGAGGAUGAGGGAAUUGAAGGCUAGUGUAGAAAGUAGAAAAGAGACAAAAUGCAUGUUGGUUUGAUUGUUAUGAAAGAAAUUUUGUUCCCCCUGUAGAAUGAUCCCCUAAAAAUUAGGAUAGUUGAUAAGGGUUUAUAGGUUUAUUCUCAAAAUAUUUAGAAUGUAGGUAAUGUGUAUGAGCUGAAAACACUGAAAAGAGAGUAUUUUGUGAGAAUGGAGUUUAUGUGGUAUGAGGUGGAGAUUCCCUUGCCGAGGCAAUUGUUAAUCCUUGGAUGUCCCUUGUGUGAGCUGGUAGCAAGUUGAAGAUAUGAAUGUAAAUGAAAUAGUAGGUAUUGGUGCAGUUGUCACGCUAUGUAUGGCAGAGUAGGAGGAGACCUGAGUUGAGCAGAAAUGUGGAUGAUUUAUAAUAAUUGUUUGCGAGUUAAUCGUAGGUGCCCUGUGAAAAGAGGGAAGCCAGACUGAAGAUAGUAUAUCCAAGAGUAGAGUGAGUGAUGAUGUGUUGAUAAAGGCAAUGUGGGUACAAUGUUUAAAAGAGAGAUUGGAAGAAGGCAUAGAUUUAAGUAAAGUGAGAAAGAGUCCCAAGAAAUCUUAGAGGUGAAUGAACAAAGGUGUGGUUGGAGUGUAUAGAUGUAAGAAACAAUGACUAGCAAGUUGAUGAUGUUUGAGACCUGUUAUGAAAUUUGAUCAUGAGAGUUGCAUUAUUGAGUUUUUGGAGAUUUGUAUGAGCCGGAUGAUGAGAGUAAGACCCGUGACUGUUUAAAUUAGGAAGAGAGUAGAAGGUGUUUGAAGACCCUAUUGCAGAUACAGAGUGAAAAGUAAAGUGUUGUUAUAGUGACAGUUGCAGUAUAUGUAGGGUGUACAGAAAGUGUAAUUGAUGGCCCUUCCCAUUGAGGUAUACAUUCUGAUUGUUGUUUGGAACGAGAAGCUCCCACGUAAAUCCAACAUUAUAGAAAUUAUGUUAAUUUACGAUGUGUGUCGAAAUGAUGUAGAUACCUGAUGUGAGGUGAAAUUUAGGAUGGAGGCGUGUGUGUGUGAGGACGUGGCCCUUUCCCAAGCCAUAGAAUUCAUUAUUUCAGUUAUGUGUGGUGGAGAAUAAUGAUAGUGAGGAAGUAUUUAUGUGUGACGGGAUAGGAAGUAUUAUUGGUAACCCUAUUUGGCAAAUGAGUUGUACUGAUGUUGAGAACAGGAAAUGUUAAAAAUGUAUAUGAUGAAGGUGAAACUUGAUGUUGGUAAUGGAGAGUCGCUUUGUGGAAAAUUUGUAGAAGUUCUAAAGAGUCCACUUGUGGAGAGGUUAUUAGCUAUUGUGAAGUGAAAUACAGUGAAGACUAGUAAACAAAAUGACACUUGAGCGACCCUUGGUUAUUGAUAAGGUUGUAAAGAAGGUUUAUAUUGUGUCUGGUUAUUUGUUUGUUGUGGCUUAGUGUAAAAGAAUUUACCCUUUGACAUGUGUUAUGGAGGUAGAAAGGUGUAGGAAGUACAGUCCCUUAAUAUUUCGAAUACGAGAGGAAAUGAUAUAGUGGAGACAUGUAACGUGUGAGAGAGUGUGUAUGAAGUAGUUGGUAUGUGCGUGAUGUGGAGGUUUAUGAAAUUGGAGUAAUGUGGUAAUUAGAAAUGAUGAAGGUAAUGAAGUAGUGAUGUUCUAGUUUUCGAAAGAAUGGAGUAACUGAUGGUGUAUGGUUUGAAGUAGAGUUAAAAACCUGAGUAAGGUGAAGUUGAUGUUAAAUUUUGUAUAGGUGUUAUAAUACAAGGUUGGAGAAUGGUGCAGAGAAGGUAAAAAAAGGUUGUGUCUGUGUAGAGGUUAAUGUUUAGAUGAGGAAAUAAAACAUUACCCCAGAGAAAAUGUAAAAAAGUUAGGAAUGAGGUGUGGUAGUGAAGAGGUGUGAUGAAGUGAAGUCGAAUUGCUGAGUUUGAUGGUGAAUGGUUUGUGAACUAAUGUUGCCCCUGUCCGUCCUGCCUACAAGAUUAGAGUUUGGACAGUUAGUGAUACGGUGAUCUAGUAGUGUGUGUGACUAGACGAAAUGAUAAUCCAUUGAGGUGAAUAUGUAUUGUCCCAGAGAGUAUAAUAUCCUUUGAAGUUGGUAGAGAGAUGUACGAAUAGAAGACCAAUCAAAUAAUAAUUCACUUUUGAUAAGGUAGCGAGGAUGAGGGAAUUGAAAGCGAGUGUAGAAAGUAGAAAAGAGACAAAAUGCAUGUUGGUUUGAUUGUUAUGAAAGAAAUUUUGUUCACCCUGAAGAUUGAUCCCCUGAAAAUUAGGAUAGUUGAUAAGGUUUUAUAGGUUUAUUCUCAAAAUAUUUAGAAUGUAGGUAAUGUGUAUGAGCUGAAAACACUGAAAAGAGAGUAUUUUGUGAGAAUGGAGUUUAUAUGGUAUGAGGUGGAGAUUCCCUUGCCGAGGCAAUUGUUAAUCUUUGGAUGUUCCUUGUGUGAGCUAGUAGCAUGUUGGAGAUAUGAAUGUAAAUGAAAAAGUAGGUAUUGGUGCAGUUGUCACGCUAUGUAUGGCAGAGUAGGAGGAGACCUAGGUUGAGCAGAAAUGUGGAUGAUUUAUAAUAAUUGUUUGCGAGUUAAUCGUAGGUGCCCUGUGAAAAGAGGGAAGCCUGACUGAAGAUAGUAUAUCCAAGAGUAGAGUGAGUGAUGAUGUGUUGAUAAAGGCAAUGUGGGUACAAUGUUUAAAAGAGAGAUUGGAAGAAGGCAUAGAUUUAAGUAAAGUGAGAAAGAGUCCCAAGAAAUCUUAGAGGUGACUGAACAAAGGUGUGGUUGGAGUGUAUAGAUGUAAGAAACAAUGACUAGCAAGUUGAUGAUGUUUGAGACCUGUUAUGAAAUUUGAUCAUGAGAGUUGCAUUAUUGAGUUUUUGGAGAUUUGUAUGAGCCGGAUGAUGAGAGUAAGACCCGUGACUGUUUAAAUUAGGAAGAGAGUAGAAGGUGUUUGAAGACCCUAUUGCAGAUACAGAGUGAAAAGUAAAGUGUUGUUAUAGUGACAGUUGCAGUAUAUGUAAGGUGUACAGAAAGUGUAAUUGAUGGCCCUUCCCAUUGAGGUAUACAUGCUGAUUGUUGUUUGGAACGAGAAGCUCCCACGUAAAUCCAACAUUAUAGAAAUUAUGUUAAUUUACGAUGUGUGUCGAAAUGAUGUAGAUACCUGAUGUGAGGUGAAAUUUAGUAUGGAGGCGUGUGUGUGUGAGGACGUAGUUCUUUCCCAAUCCAUAGAAUUAAUUAUUUCAGUUAUGUGUGGUGGAGAAUAAUGAUAGUGAGGAUGUAUUUGUGUGUGACGGGAUAAGAAGUUUUAUUGGUACCCCUAUUUGGCAAAUGCAUUGUACUGAUGUUGAGAACAGGAAAUGUUAAAAAUGUAGAUGAUGAAGGUGAAACUUGAUGUUGGUAAUGGAGGGUCGCUUUGUGGAGUGUGAUUGUGUUACCAUUAAAAUUUGUAGAAGUUCUAAAGAGUCCACUUGUGGAGAGGUUAUUAGCUAUUGCGAAGUGAAAUACAGUGAAGACUAGUAAACAAAGAGACACUUGAACAACCCUUGGUUAUUGAUAAGAUUGUAAAGAAGGUUUAUAUUGUGUCUGGUUAUUUUGUUUGUUGUGGCUUAGUGUAAAAGAAUGUACCCUUUGACAUGUGCUAUGGAGGUAGAAAGGUGUAGGAAGUACAGUCCCUUAACAUUUCGAAUACAAAGAGACACUUGAACAACCCUUCGUUAUUGAUAAGAUUGUAAAGAAGAUUUAUAUUGUGUCUGGUUAUUUUGUUUGUUGUGGCUUAGUGUAAAAGAAUGUACCCUUUGACAUGUGUUAUGGAGGUAGAAAGGUGUAGGAAGUACAGUCCCUUAACAUUUCGAAUACGAGAUGAAAUGAUAUAGUGGAGACAUGUAACAUGUGAGAGAGUGUGUAUGAAGUAGUUGGUAUGUGCGUGAUGUGGAGGUUUAUGAAAUUGGAGUAAUGUGGUAAUUAGAAAUGAUGAUGGUACUGAAGUAGUGAUGUUCUAGUUUUCGAAAGAAUGGAGUAACCGAUGGUGUAUGGUUUGAAGUAGAGUUAAAAACCUGAGUAAGGUGAAAUUGAUGUUAAAUUUUGUAUACGUGUUAUAAUACUAGGUUGUAGAAUGGUGCAGAGAAGGUAAAGAAAGGUUGUGUCAGUGUAGAGGUUAAUGUGUAGAUGAGGAAGUAAUACAGUACCCCAGAGAAAAUGUAAAAUAGUUAGGAAUGAGGUGUGGUAGUGAAGAGGUGUGAUGCAGUGAAGUCAAAUUGCUGUGUUUGGUGGUGAAUGGUUUGUGAACUACCUGAGUAAGGUGAAGUUGAUGUUAAAUUUUGUAUAGGUGUUAUAAUACAAGGUUGUAGAAUGGUACAGAAAAGGUAAAAAAAGGUUGUGUCAGUGUAGAGGUUAAUGUGUAGAUGAGGAAAUAAAACAGUACCCCAGAGAAAAUGUAAAAUUGUUAGGAAUGAGGUGUGGUAGUGAAGAGGUGUUAUGAAGUGAAGUCGAAUUGCUGUGUUUGGUGGUGAAUGGUUUGUGAACUAAUGUUGCCCCUGUACAUCCUGCCUACAAGAUUUGAGUUUGGACAGUUAGUGAUACCGUGAUCUAGUAGUGUGUGUGACUUGUUGAAAUGAUAAUCCAUAGAGGUGAAUAUGUAUUGUCCGAGAAAGUAAAAUAUCCUUUGAAGUUGGUAGAGAGAUGUACGAAUAGAAGACCAAUCAAAUAAUAAUUCGCUUUGGAUGAGGUAGCGAGGAUGAGGGAAUUGAAAGCGAGUGUAGAACGUAGAAAAGAGAAAAAAUGUAUGUUGGUUUGAUUGUUAUGAAACAAGUUUUGUUCCCCCUGUAGUUUGAUCCUGUAAUUGGGAUAGUUGAUAAGGGUUUAUAGGUUUAUUCUCAAAAUAUUUGGAAUGUAGGUGAUGUGUAUGAGCUGAAAACACUGAAAAGAGAGUAUUUUGCGUGAAUGGAGUUUAUAGGGUAUGAGGUGGAGAUUCCCAUUGCCCAGGCAAUUGUUAAUCUUUGGAUGUCCCUUGUGUGAGCUGGUAGCAUGUUGGAGAUAUGAAUGUAAAUGAAAAAGUAGGUAUUGGUGCAGUUGACACGCUAUAUAUGGCAGAGUAGGAGGAGACCUGAGUUGAGCAGAAAUGUGGAUGAUUUAUAAUAAUUGUCUGCGAGUUAAUCGUAGGUGACCUGUGAAAAGAGGGAAGCCUGACUGAAGGUAGUAUAUCCAAGAGUAGAGUGAGUGAUGAUGUGUUGAUAAAGGCAAUGUGGGUACAUUUUUUAAAAGAGAGGUUGGAAGAUGGCAUAGGUUUAAGUAAAGUGAAAAUGAGUGCCAAGAGUUCUUAGAGGUGAAUGAACAAAGGUGUGGUUGGAGUGUAUAGAUGUAAGAAACAAUGACUAGCAAGUUGAUGAUGUUUGAGACCUGUUAUGAAAUUUGAUCAUGAGAGUUGCAGUAUUGAGUUUUUGGAGUUUUGUAUGAGUGAGAUGAUGAGAGUAAGACCCGUGACUGUUUAAAUUAGGAAGAGAGUAGAAGGUGUUUGAAGAACCUAUUGCAGACGCAGAGCGAAAAGUAAAGUGUUGUUAUAGUGAAAGUUGCAGUAUAUGUAAGGUGUACAGAAAGUGUAAUUGAUGACCCUUCCCAUUGAGGUAUACAUGCUGUUUGUUGUUUGGAACGAGAAGUCCCACGUAAAUCCAACAUUAUAGAAAUUAUGUUAAUUUACGAUGUGUGUCAAAAUGAUGUAGAUACCUGAUGUGAGGUGAAAUUUAGGAUGGAGGCGUGUGUGUGUGAGGACGUGGCCCUUUCCCAAGCCAUAGAAUUCAUUAUUUCAGUUAUGUGUGGUGGAGAAUAAUGAUAGUGAGGAAGUAUUUAUGUGUGACGGGAUAGGAAGUAUUAUUGGUAACCCUAUUUGGCAAAUGAGUUGUACUGAUGUUGAGAACAGGAAAUGUUAAAAAUGUAGAUGAUGAAGGUGAAACUUGAUGUUGGUAAUGGAGUGUCGCUUUUUGGAAAAUUUGUAGAAGUUCUAAAGAGUCCACUUGUGGAGCGGUUAUUAGCUAUUGUGAAGUGAAAUACAGUGAAGACUAGUAAAUAAAGAGACACUUGAGCGACCCUUGGUUAUUGAUAAGAUUGUAAAGAAGGUUUAUAUUGUGUCUGGUUAUUUUGUUUGUUGUGGCUUAGUGUAAAAGAAUUUACCCCUUUGACAUGUGUUAUGGAGGUAGAAAGGUGUAGGAAGUACAGUCCCUUAAUAUUUCGAUACGAGAGGAAAUGAUAUAGUGGAGACAUGUAACGUGUGAGAGAGUGUGUAUGAAGUAGUUGGUAUGUGCGUGAUGUGGAGGUUUAUGAAAUUGGAGUAAUGUGGUAAUUAGAAAUGAUGAAGGUACUGAAGUAGUGAUGUUCUAGUUUUCGAAAGAAUGGAGUAACCGAUGGUGUAUGGUUUGAAGUAGAGUUAAAAACGUGAGUAAGGUGAAGUUGAUGUUAAGUAUUGUAAAGGUGGUAUAAUACGAGGUUGAGGAAUGGUGCAGAGAAGAAAAAAAAAAUGUUGUGUCAGUGUAGAGGUUAAUGUUUAGAUGAGGAAAUAAAAUAGUACCACAGAGAAAAUGUAAAAAAGUUAGGAAUGAGGUGUGGUAGUGAAGAGGUAUGAUGAAGUGAAGUUGAAUUGCUGAGUUUGGUGGUGAAUGGUUUGUGAACUAAUGUUGCCCCUGUAUAUCCUGCCUACAAGAUUUGAGUUUGGACAGUUAGUGAUACGGUGAUCUAGUAGUGUGUGUGACUUGACGAAAUGAUAAUCCAUAGAGGUGAAUAUGUAUUGUCCCAGUGAGUAUAAUAUCCUUUGAAGUUGGUAGAGAGAUGUACGAAUAGAAGACCAAUCAAAUAAUAAUUCACUUUGGAUAAGGUAGCGAGGAUGAAGGAAUUGAAGGCUAGUGUAGAAAGUAGAAAAGAGACAAAAUGCAUGUUGGUUUGAUUGUUAUGAAAGAAAUUUUGUUCCCCCUGUAGAUUGAGCCCCUAAAAAUUAGGACAGUUGAUAAGGGUUUAUAGGUUUAUUCACAAAAUAUUUAGCAUGUAGGUGAUGUGUAUGAGCUGAAAACACUGAAAAGAGAGUAUUUUGUGAGAAUGGAGUUUAUAUGGUAUGAGGUGGAGAUUCCCUUGCCGAGGCAAUUGUUAAUCCUUGGAUGUCCCUUGUGUGAGCUGGUAGCAUGUUGGAGAUAUGAAUGUAAAUGAAAAAGUAGGUAUUGGUGCAGUUGUCACGCUAUGUAUGGCAGAGUAGGAGGAGACCUGAGUUGAGCAGAAAUGUGGAUGAUUUAUAAUAAUUGUUUGCGAGUUAAUCGUAGGUGCCCUGUGAAAAGAGGGAAGCCUGACUGAAGGUAGUAUAUCCAAGAGUAGAGUGAGUGAUGAUGUGUUGAUAAAGGCAAUGUUGGUACAAUGUUUAAAAGAGAGAUUGGAAGAAGGCAUAGGUUUAAGUAAAGUGAGAAAGAGUCCCAAGAGUUCUUAGAGGUGAAUGAACAAAGGUGUGGUUGGAGUGUAUAGGUGUAAGAGACAAUGACUAGCAAGUUGAUGAUGUUUGAGACCUGUUAUGAAAUUAGAUCAUGAGAGUUGCACUAUUGAGUUUUUGGAGAUUUGUAUGAGCCGGAUGAUGAGAGUAAGACCCGUGACUGUUUAAAUUAGGAAGAGAGUAGAAGGUGUUUGAAGAACCUAUUGCAGACGCAGAGCGAAAAGUAAAGUGUUGUUAUAGUGAAAGUUGCAGUAUAUGUAAGGUGUACAGAAAGUGUAAUUGAUGACCCUUCCCAUUGAGGUAUACAUGCUGUUUGUUGUUUGGAACGAGAAGUCCCACGUAAAUCCAACAUUAUAGAAAUUAUGUUAAUUUACGAUGUGUGUCAAAAUGAUGUAGAUACCUGAUGUGAGGUGAAAUUUAGGAUGGAGGCGUGUGUGUGUGAGGACGUGGCCCUUUCCCAAGCCAUAGAAUUCAUUAUUUCAGUUAUGUGUGGUGGAGAAUAAUGAUAGUGAGGAAGUAUUUAUGUGUGACGGGAUAGGAAGUAUUAUUGGUAACCCUAUUUGGCAAAUGAGUUGUACUGAUGUUGAGAACAGGAAAUGUUAAAAAUGUAGAUGAUGAAGGUGAAACUUGAUGUUGGUAAUGGAGAGUCGCUUUGUGGAAAAUUUGUAGAAGUUCUAAAGAGUCCAGUUGUGGAGCGGUUAUUAGCUAUUGUGAAGUGAAAUACAGUGAAGACUAGGAAAUAAAAUGACACUUGAGCGACCCUUGGUUAUUGAUAAGAUUGUAAAGAAGGUUUAUAUUGUGUCUGGUUAUUUUGUUUGUUGUGGCUUAGUGUAAAAGAAUUUACCCCUUUGACAUGUGUUAUGGAGGUAGGAAGGUGUAGGAAGUACAGUCCCUUAAUAUUUCGAUACGAGAGGAAAUGAUAUAGUGGAGACAUGUAACGUGUGAUAGAGUGUGUAUGAAGUAGUUGGUAUGUGCGUGAUGUGGAGGUUUAUGAAAUUGGAGUAAUGUGAUAAUUAGAAAUGAUGAAGGUACUGAAGUAGUGAUGUUCUAGUUUUCGAAAGAAUGGAGUAACUGAUGGUGUAUGGUUUGAAGUAGAGUUAAAAACCUGAGUAAGGUGAAGUUGAUGUUAAAUUUUGUAUAGGUGUGAUAAUACAAGGUUGGAGAAUGGUGCAGAGAAGGUAAAAAAACGUUGUGUCUGUGUAGAGGUUAAUGUUUAGAUGAGCAAGUAAAACAUUACCCCAGAGAAAAUGUAAAAAAGUCAGGAAUGAGGUGUGGUAGUGAAGAGGUGUGAUGAAGUGAAGUCGAAAUGCUGAGUUUGGUGAUGAAUGCUUUGUGAACUAAUGUUGCUCCUGUCCGUUCUGCCUACAAGAUUAGAGUUUGGACAGUUAGUGAUUCGGUGAUCUAGUAGUGUCUGUGACUUGACGAAAUGAUAAUCCAUAGAGGUGAAUAUGUAUUGUCCCAAAGAGUAUAAUAUCCUUUGAAGUUGGUAGAGAGAUGUACGAAUAGAAGACCAAUAAAAUAAUAAUUCACUUUGGAUAAGGUAGCGAGGAUGAGGGAAUUGAAAGCGAGUGUAGAAAGUAGAAAAGAGACAAAAUGCAUGUUGGUUUGAUUGUUAUGAAAGAAAUUUUGUUCCUCUGUAGAAUGAUACCCUAAAAAUUAGGAUAGUUGAUAAGGGUUUAUAGGUUUCUUCUCAAAAUAUUUAGAAUGUAGGUGAUGUGCAUGAGCUGAAAACACUGAAAAGAGGGUAUUUUGUGAGAAUGGAGUUUAUUUGGUAUGAGGUGGAGAUUCCCUUGCCGAGACAAUUGUUAAUCCUUGGAUGUCCCUUGUGUGAGCUGGUAGCAUGUUGGAGAUAUGAAUGUAAAUGAAAAAGUAGGUAUUGGUGCAGUUGUCACGCUAUGUAUGGCAGAGUAGGAGGAGACCUGAGUUGAGCAGAAAUGUGGAUGAUUUAUAAUAAUUGUUUGCGAGUUAAUCGUAGGUGCCCUGUGAAAAGAGGGAAGCCUGACUGAAGAUAGUAUAUCCAAGAGUAGAGUGAGUGAUGAUGUGUUGAUAAAGGCAAUGUGGGUACAAUGUUUAAAAGAGAGAUUGGAAGAAGGCAUAGAUUUAAGUAAAGUGAGAAAGAGUCCCAAGAAAUCUUAGAGGUGAAUGAACAAAGGUGUGGUUGGAGUGUAUAGACGUAAGAAACAAUGACUAGCAAGUUGAUGAUGUUUGAGACCUGUUAUGAAAUUUGAUCAUGAUAGUUGCAUUAUUGAGUUUUUGGAGAUUUGUAUGAGCCGGAUGAUGAGAGUAAGACCCGUGACUGUUUAAAUUAGGAAGAGAGUAGAAGGAGUGUGAAGACCCUAUUGCAGAUACAGAGCGAAAAGUAAAGUGUUGUUAUAGUGACAGUUGCAGUAUAUGUAAGGUGUACAGAAAGUGUAAUUGAUGGCCCUUCCCAUUGAUGUAUACAUGCUGAUUGUUGUUUGGAACGAGAAGCUCCCACGUAAAUCCAACAUUAUAGAAAUUAUGUUAAUUUACGAUGUGUGUCAAAAUGAUGUAGGUACCUGAUGUGAGGAGAAAUUUAGGAUGGAGGCAUGUGUGUGUGAGGACGUGGCCCUUUCCCAAGCCAUAGAAUUAAUUAUUUCAGUUAUGUGUGGUGGAGAAAAUGAUAGUGAGGAAGUAUUUAAGUGAGGAAGUAUUUAUGUGUGACGGGAUAAGAAGUAUUAUUGGUACUCCUAUUUGGCAAAUGAGUUGUACUGAUGUUGAGAACAGGAAAGGUUAAAAAUGUAGAUGAUGAAGGUGAAACUUGAUGUUGGUAAUGGAGAGUCGCUUUGUGGAGUGUGAUUGUGUUACAGUUAAAAUUUGUAGACGUUCUAAAGAGUCCACUUGUGGAGCGGUUAUUAGCUAUUGUGAAGUGAAAUACAGUGAAGAGUAGCAAAUAAAGAGACACUUGUGGGACCCAUGGUUAUUGAUAAGAUUGUAAAGAAGGUUUAUAUUGUGUCUGGUUAUUUUGUUUGUUGUGGCUUAGUGUAAAAGAAUUUACCCCUUUGACAUGUGUUAUGGAGGUAGAAAGGUGUAGGAAGUACAGUCCCUUAAUAUUUCGAAUACGAGAGGAAAUGAUAUAGUGGAGACAUGUAACGUGUGAGAGAGUGUGUAUGAAGUAGUUGGUAUGUGCGUAAUGUGGAGGUUUAUGAAAUUGGAGUAAUGUGGUAAUUAGAAAUGAUGAAGGUACUGAAGUAGUGAUGUUCUAGUUUUCGAAAGAAUGGAGUAACUGAUGGUGUAUGGUUUGAAGUAGAGUUAAAAACGUGAGUAAGAUGAAGUUGAUGUUAAAUUUUGUAUAGGUGUUAUAUUACAAGGUUGUAGAAUGGUGCAGAGAAGGUAAAAAAAGGUUGUGUCAGUGUAGAGGUUAAUGUGUAGAUGAGGAAAUAAAACAGUACCCCAGAGAAAAUGUAAAAAAAGUUAGGAAUGAGGUGUGGUAGUGAAGAGGUGUGAUGAAGUGAAGUCGAAUUGCUGUGUUUGGUGGUGAAUGGUUUGUGAACUAAUUUUGCCCCUGUACAUCCUGGCUACAAGAUUUGAGUUUGGACAGUUAGUGAUACGGUGAUCUAGUAGUGUGUGUGACUUGUGGAAAUGAUAAUCCAUAGAGGUGAAUAUGUAUUGUCCCAGAGAGUAAAAUAUCCUUUGAAGUUGGUAGAGAGAUGUACGAAUAGAAGACCAAUCAAAUAAUAUUUCGCCUUGGAUGAGGUAACGAGGAUGAGGGAAUUGAAAGCGAGUGUAGAAAGUAGAAAAGAGACAAAAUGCAUGUUGGUUUGAUUGUUAUGAAAUAAAUUUUGUUCCCCCUGUAGAUUGAUCCCCUAAAAAUUAGGAUAGUUGAUAAGGGUUUAUAGGUUUAUUCUCAAAAUAUUUAGAAUGUAGGUGAUGUGUAUGAGCUGAAAACACUGAAAAGAGAGUAUUUUGUGAGAAUGGAGUUUAUAUGGUAUAAGGUGGAGAUUCCCUUGCCGAGGCAAUUGUAAAUCCUUGGAUGUCCCUUGUGUGAGCUGGUAGCAUGUUGGAGAUAUGAAUGUAAAUGAAAAAGUAGGUAUUGGUGCAGUUGUCACGCUAUGUAUGGCAGAGUAGGAGGAGACCUGAGUUGAGCAGAAAUGUGGAUGAUUUAUAAUAAUUGUUUGCGAGUUAAUCGUAGGUGCCCUGUGAAAAGAGGGAAGCCAGACUGAAGAUAGUAUAUCCAAGAGUAGACUGAGUUAUGAUGUGUUGAUAAAGGCAAUGUGGGUACAAUGUUUAAAAGAGAGAUUGGAAGAAGGCAUAGAUUUAAGUAAAGUGAGAAAGAGUCCCAAGAAAUCUUAGAGGUGACUGAACAAAGGUGUGGUUGGAGUGUAUAGAUGUAAGACACAAUGACUAGCAAGUUGAUGAUGUUUGAGACCUGUUAUGAAAUUUGAUCAUGAGAGUUGCAUUAUUGAGUUUUUGGAGAUUUGUAUGAGCCGGAUGAUGAGAGUAAGACCCGUGACUGUUUAAAUUAGGAAGAGAGUAACAGGUGUUUGAAGACCCUAUUGCAGAUACAGAGUGAAAAGUAAAGUGUUGUUAUAGUGACAGUUGCAGUAUAUGUAGGGUGUACAGAAAGUGUAAUUGAUGGCCCUCCCCAUUGAGGUAUACAUUCUGAUUGUUGUUUGGAACGAGAAGCUCCCACGUUAAUCCAACAUUAUAGAAAUUAUGUUAAUUUACGAUGUGUGUCGAAAUGAUGUAGAUACCUGAUGUGAGGUGAAAUUUAGGAUGGAGGCGUGUGUGUGUGUGUGUGAGGACGUAGUUCUUCCCCAAUCCAUAGAAUUAAUUAUUUCAGUUAUGUGUGGUGGGGAAUAAUGAUAGUGAGGAUGUAUUUGUGUGUGACGGGAUAAGAAGUUUUAUUGGUACCCGUAUUUGGCAAAUGCGUUGUACUGAUAUUGAGAACAGGAAAUGUUAAAAAUGUAGAUGAUGAAGGUGAAACUUGAUGUUGGUAAUGGAGGGUCGCUUUGUGGAGUGUGAUUGUGUUACCAUUAAAAUUUGUAGAAGUUCUAAAGAGUCCACUUGUGGAGAGGUUAUUAGCUAUUGUGAAGUGAAAUACAGUGAAGACUAGUAAAUAAAGAGACACUUGAGCGACCCUUGGUUAUUGAUAAGAUUGUAAAGAAGGUUUAUAUUGUGUCUGAUUAUUUUGUUUGUUGUGGCUUAGUGUAAAAGAAUGUACCCUUUGACAUGUGUUAUGGAGGUAGAAAGGUGUAGGAAGUACAGUCCCUUAACAUUUCGAAUACGAGAGGAAAUGAUAUAGUGGAGACAUGUAACUUGUGAGAGAGUGUGUAUGAAGUAGUUGUUAUGUGCGUGAUGUGGAGGUUUAUGAAAUUGGAGUAAUGUGGUAAUUAGAAAUGAUGAUGGUACUGAAGUAGUGAUGUUCUAGUUUUCAAAAGAAUGGAGUAACCGAUGGUGUAUGGUUUGAAGUAGAGUUAAAAACGUGAGUAAGGUGAUGUUGACGUUAAAUUUUGUAUAGGUGUUGCAAUACAAGGUUGGAGAAUGGUGCAGAGAAGGUAAAAAAAGGUUGUGUCUGUGUAGAGGUUAAUGUUUAGAUGAGGAAAUAAAACAUUACCCCAGAGAAAAUGUAAAAAAUUUAGGAAUGAGGUGUGGUAGUGAAGAGGUGUGAUGAAGUGAAGUCGAAUUGCUGAGUUUGAUGGUGAAUGGUUUGUGAACUAAUGUUGCCCCUGUCCGUCCUGCCUACAAGAUUAGAGUUUGGACAGUUAGUGAUACGGUGAUCUAGUAGUGUGUGUGACUCGACGAAAUGAUAAUCCAUUGAGGUGAAUAUGUAUUGUCCCAGAGAGUAUAAUAUCCUUUGAAGUUGGUAGAGAGAUGUACGAAUAGAAGACCAAUCAAAUAAUAAUUCACUUUGGAUAAGGUAGCGAGGAUGUGGGAAUUGAAGGCUAGUGUAGAAAGUAGAAAAGAGACAAAAGCAUGUUGGUUUGAUUGUUAUGAAAGAAAUUUUGUUCCCCCUGUAGAAUGAUCCCCUAAAAAUUAGGAUAGUUGAUAAGGGUUUAUAGGUUUAUUCUCAAAAUAUUUAGAAUGUAGGUGAUGUGUAUGAGCUGAAAACACUGAAAAGAGAGUAUUUUGUGAGAAUGGAGUUUAUAUGGUAUGAGGUGGAGAUUCCCUUGCCGAGGCAAUUGUUAAUCCUUGGAUGUUCCUUGUGUGAGCUAGUAGCAUGUUGGAGAUAUGAAUGUAAAUGAAAAAGUAGGUAUUGGUGCAGUUGUCACGCUAUGUAUGGCAGAGUAGGAGGAGACGUAGGUUGAGCAGAAAUGUGGAUGAUUUAUAAUAAUUGUUUGCGAGUUAAUCGUAGGUGCCCUGUGAAAAGAGGGAAGCCUGACUGAAGAUAGUAUAUCCAAGAGUAGAGUGAGUGAUGAUGUGUUGAUAAAGGCAAUGUGGGUACAAUGUUUAAAAGAGAGAUUGGAAGAAGGCAUAGAUUUAAGUAAAGUGAGAAAGAGUCCCAAGAAAUCUUAGAGGUGACUGAACAAAGGUGUGGUUGGAGUGUAUAGAUGUAAGAAACAAUGACUAGCAAGUUGAUGAUGUUUGAGACCUGUUAUGAAAUUUGAUCAUGAGAGUUGCAUUAUUGAGUUUUUGGAGAUUUGUAUGAGACGGAUGAUGAGAGUAAGACCCGUGACUGAUUAAAUUAGGAAGAGAGUAGAAGGUGUUUGAAGACCCUAUUGCAGAUACAGAGUGAAAGGUAAAGUGUUGUUAUAGUGAUAGUUGCAGUAUAUGUAAGGUGUACAGAAAGUGUAAUUGAUGGCCCUUCCCAUUGAGGUAUACAUGCUGACUGUUGUUUGGAACGAGAAGCUCCCACGUAAAUCCAACAUUAUAGAAAUUAUGUUAAUUUACGAUGUGUGUCGAAAUGGUGUAGAUACCUGAUGUGAGGUGAAAUUUAGUAUGGAGGCGUGUGUGUGUGAGGACGUAGUUCUUUCCCAAUCCAUAGAAUUAAUUAUUUCAGUUAUGUGUGGUGGAGAAUAAUGAUAGUGAGGAUGUAUUUGUGUGUGACGGGAUAAGAAGUUUUAUUGGUACCCCUAUUUGGCAAAUGCAUUGUACUGAUGUUGAGAACAGGAAAUGUUAAAAAUGUAGAUGAUGAAGGUGAAACUUGAUGUUGGUAAUGGAGGGUCGCUUUGUGGAGUGUGAUUGUGUUACCAUUAAAAUUUGUAGAAGUUCUAAAGAGUCCACUUGUGGAGAGGUUAUUAGCUAUUGCGAAGUGAAAUACAGUGAAGACUAGUAAACAAAGAGACACUUGAACAACCCUUGGUUAUUGAUGAGAUUGUAAAGAAGGUUUAUAUUGUGUCUGGUUAUUUAGUUUGUUGUGGCUUAGUGUAAAAGAAUGUACCCUUUGACAUGUGCUAUGGAGGUAGAAAGGUGUAGGAAGUACAGUCCCUUAACAUUUCGAAUACAAAGAGACACUUGAACAACCCUUCGUUAUUGAUAAGAUUGUAAAGAAGAUUUAUAUUGUGUCUGGUUAUUUUGUUUGUUGUGGCUUAGUGUAAAAGAAUGUACCCUUUGACAUGUGUUAUGGAGGUAGAAAGGUGUAGGAAGUACAGUCCCUUAACAUUUCGAAUACGAGAUGAAAUGAUAUAGUGGAGACAUGUAACAUGUGAGAGAGUGUGUAUGAAGUAGUUGGUAUGUGCGUGAUGUGGAGGUUUAUGAAAUUGGAGUAAUGUGGUAAUUAGAAAUGAUGAUGGUACUGAAGUAGUGAUGUUCUAGUUUUCGAAAGAAUGGAGUAACCGAUGGUGUAUGGUUUGAAGUAGAGUUAAAAACCUGAGUAAGGUGAAAUUGAUGUUAAAUUUUGUAUACGUGUUAUAAUACUAGGUUGUAGAAUGGUGCAGAGAAGGUAAAGAAAGGUUGUGUCAGUGUAGAGGUUAAUGUGUAGAUGAGGAAGUAAUACAGUACCCCAGAGAAAAUGUAAAAUAGUUAGGAAUGAGGUGUGGUAGUGAAGAGGUGUGAUGCAGUGAAGUCAAAUUGCUGUGUUUGGUGGUGAAUGGUUUGUGAACUACCUGAGUAAGGUGAAGUUGAUGUUAAAUUUUGUAUAGGUGUUAUAAUACAAGGUUGUAGAAUGGUACAGAAAAGGUAAAAAAAGGUUGUGUCAGUGUAGAGGUUAAUGUGUAGAUGAGGAAAUAAAACAGUACCCCAGAGAAAAUGUAAAAUUGUUAGGAAUGAGGUGUGGUAGUGAAGAGGUGUUAUGAAGUGAAGUCGAAUUGCUGUGUUUGGUGGUGAAUGGUUUGUGAACUAAUGUUGCCCCUGUACAUCCUCCCUACAAGAUUUGAGUUUGGACAGUUAGUGAUACCGUGAUCUAGUAGUGUGUGUGACUUGUUGAAAUGAUAAUCCAUAGAGGUGAAUAUGUAUUGUCCGAGAGAGUAAAAUAUCCUUUGAAGUUGGUAGAGAGAUGUACGAAUAGAAGACCAAUCAAAUAAUAAUUCGCUUUGGAUGAGGUAGCGAGGAUGAGGGAUUUGAAAGCGAGUGUAGAACGUAGAAAAGAGAAAAAAUGUAUGUUGGUUUGAUUGUUAUGAAACAAGUUUUGUUCCCCCUGUAGUUUGAUCCUGUAAUUGGGAUAGUUGAUAAGGGUUUAUAGGUUUAUUCUCAAAAUAUUUGGAAUGUAGGUGAUGUGUAUGAGCUGAAAACACUGAAAAGAGAGUAUUUUGCGUGAAUGGAGUUUAUAGGGUAUGAGGUGGAGAUUCUCAUUGCCCAGGCAAUUGUUAAUCCUUGGAUGUCCCUUGUGUGAGCUGGUAGCAUGUUGUAGAUAUGAAUGUAAAUGAAAAAGUAGGUAUUGGUGCAGUUGACACGCUAUAUAUGGCAGAGUAGGAGGAGACCUGAGUUGAGCAGAAAUGUGGAUGAUUUAUAAUAAUUGUCUGCGAGUUAAUCGUAGGUGCCCUGUGAAAAGAGGGAAGCCUGACUGAAGGUAGUAUAUCCAAGAGUAGAGUGAGUGAUGAUGUGUUGAUAAAGGCAAUGUGGGUACAUUUUUUAAAAGAGAGGUUGGAAGAUGGCAUAGGUUUAAGUAAAGUGAAAAUGAGUGCCAAGAGUUCUUAGAGGUGAAUGAACAAAGGUGUGGUUGGAGUGUAUAGAUGUAAGAAACAAUGACUAGCAAGUUGAUGAUGUUUGAGACCUGUUAUGAAAUUUGAUCAUGAGAGUUGCAGUAUUGAGUUUUUGGAGUUUUGUAUGAGUGAGAUGAUGAGAGUAAGACCCGUGACUGUUUAAAUUCGGAAGAGAGUAGAAGGUGUUUGAAGAACCUAUUGCAGACGCAGAGCGAAAAGUAAAGUGUUGUUAUAGUGAAAGUUGCAGUAUAUGUAAGGUGUACAGAAAGUGUAAUUGAUGACCCUUCCCAUUGAGGUAUACAUGCUGUUUGUUGUUUGGAACGAGAAGUCCCACGUAAAUCCAACAUUAUAGAAAUUAUGUUAAUUUACGAUGUGUGUCAAAAUGAUGUAGAUACCUGAUGUGAGGUGAAAUUUAGGAUGGAGGCGUGUGUGUGUGAGGACGUGGCCCUUUCCCAAGCCAUAGAAUUCAUUAUUUCAGUUAUGUGUGGUGGAGAAUAAUGAUAGUGAGGAAGUAUUUAUGUGUGACGGGAUAGGAAGUAUUAUUGGUAACCCUAUUUGGCAAAUGAGUUGUACUGAUGUUGAGAACAGGAAAUGUUAAAAAUGUAGAUGAUGAAGGUGAAACUUGAUGUUGGUAAUGGAGUGUCGCUUUGUGGAAAAUUUGUAGAAGUUCUAAAGAGUCCACUUGUGGAGCGGUUAUUAGCUAUUGUGAAGUGAAAUACAGUGAAGACUAGUAAAUAAAGAGACACUUGAGCGACCCUUGGUUAUUGAUAAGAUUGUAAAGAAGGUUUAUAUUGUGUCUGGUUAUUUUGUUUGUUGUGGCUUAGUGUAAAAGAAUUUACCCCUUUGACAUGUGUUAUGGAGGUAGAAAGGUGUAGGAAGUACAGUCCCUUAAUAUUUCGAUACGAGAGGAAAUGAUAUAGUGGAGACAUGUAACGUGUGAGAGAGUGUGUAUGAAGUAGUUGGUAUGUGCGUGAUGUGGAGGUUUAUGAAAUUGGAGUAAUGUGGUAAUUAGAAAUGAUGAAGGUACUGAAGUAGUGAUGUUCUAGUUUUCGAAAGAAUGGAGUAACCGAUGGUGUAUGGUUUGAAGUAGAGUUAAAAACGUGAGUAAGAUGAAGUUGAUGUUAAAUUUUGUAUAGGUGUUAUAUUACAAGGUUGUAGAAUGGUGCAGAGAAGGUAAAAAAAGGUUGUGUCAGUGUAGAGGUUAAUGUGUAGAUGAGGAAAUAAAACAGUACCCCAGAGAAAAUGUAAAAAAAGUUAGGAAUGAGGUGUGGUAGUGAAGAGGUGUGAUGAAGUGAAGUCGAAUUGCUGUGUUUGGUGGUGAAUGGUUUGUGAACUAAUUUUGCCCCUGUACAUCCUGGCUACAAGAUUUGAGUUUGGACAGUUAGUGAUACGGUGAUCUAGUAGUGUGUGUGACUUGUGGAAAUGAUAAUCCAUAGAGGUGAAUAUGUAUUGUCCCAGAGAGUAAAAUAUCCUUUGAAGUUGGUAGAGAGAUGUACGAAUAGAAGACCAAUCAAAUAAUAUUUCGCCUUGGAUGAGGUAACGAGGAUGAGGGAAUUGAAAGCGAGUGUAGAAAGUAGAAAAGAGACAAAAUGCAUGUUGGUUUGAUUGUUAUGAAAUAAAUUUUGUUCCCCCUGUAGAUUGAUCCCCUAAAAAUUAGGAUAGUUGAUAAGGGUUUAUAGGUUUAUUCUCAAAAUAUUUAGAAUGUAGGUGAUGUGUAUGAGCUGAAAACACUGAAAAGAGAGUAUUUUGUGAGAAUGGAGUUUAUAUGGUAUAAGGUGGAGAUUCCCUUGCCGAGGCAAUUGUAAAUCCUUGGAUGUCCCUUGUGUGAGCUGGUAGCAUGUUGGAGAUAUGAAUGUAAAUGAAAAAGUAGGUAUUGGUGCAGUUGUCACGCUAUGUAUGGCAGAGUAGGAGGAGACCUGAGUUGAGCAGAAAUGUGGAUGAUUUAUAAUAAUUGUUUGCGAGUUAAUCGUAGGUGCCCUGUGAAAAGAGGGAAGCCAGACUGAAGAUAGUAUAUCCAAGAGUAGACUGAGUUAUGAUGUGUUGAUAAAGGCAAUGUGGGUACAAUGUUUAAAAGAGAGAUUGGAAGAAGGCAUAGAUUUAAGUAAAGUGAGAAAGAGUCCCAAGAAAUCUUAGAGGUGACUGAACAAAGGUGUGGUUGGAGUGUAUAGAUGUAAGACACAAUGACUAGCAAGUUGAUGAUGUUUGAGACCUGUUAUGAAAUUUGAUCAUGAGAGUUGCAUUAUUGAGUUUUUGGAGAUUUGUAUGAGCCGGAUGAUGAGAGUAAGACCCGUGACUGUUUAAAUUAGGAAGAGAGUAAAAGGUGUUUGAAGACCCUAUUGCAGAUACAGAGUGAAAAGUAAAGUGUUGUUAUAGUGACAGUUGCAGUAUAUGUAGGGUGUACAGAAAGUGUAAUUGAUGGCCCUCCCCAUUGAGGUAUACAUUCUGAUUGUUGUUUGGAACGAGAAGCUCCCACGUUAAUCCAACAUUAUAGAAAUUAUGUUAAUUUACGAUGUGUGUCGAAAUGAUGUAGAUACCUGAUGUGAGGUGAAAUUUAGGAUGGAGGCGUGUGCGUGUGUGUGUGAGGACGUAGUUCUUUCCCAAUCCAUAGAAUUAAUUAUUUCAGUUAUGUGUGGUGGAGAAUAAUGAUAGUGAGGAUGUAUUUGUGUGUGACGGGAUAAGAAGUUUUAUUGGUACCCCUAUUUGGCAAAUGCAUUGUACUGAUGUUGAGAACAGGAAAUGUUAAAAAUGUAGAUGAUGAAGGUGAAACUUGAUGUUGGUAAUGGAGGGUCGCUUUGUGGAGUGUGAUUGUGUUACCAUUAAAAUUUGUAGAAGUUCUAAAGAGUCCACUUGUGGAGAGGUUAUUAGCUAUUGCGAAGUGAAAUACAGUGAAGACUAGUAAACAAAGAGACACUUGAACAACCCUUGGUUAUUGAUGAGAUUGUAAAGAAGGUUUAUAUUGUGUCUGGUUAUUUAGUUUGUUGUGGCUUAGUGUAAAAGAAUGUACCCUUUGACAUGUGCUAUGGAGGUAGAAAGGUGUAGGAAGUACAGUCCCUUAACAUUUCGAAUACAAAGAGACACUUGAACAACCCUUCGUUAUUGAUAAGAUUGUAAAGAAGAUUUAUAUUGUGUCUGGUUAUUUUGUUUGUUGUGGCUUAGUGUAAAAGAAUGUACCCUUUGACAUGUGUUAUGGAGGUAGAAAGGUGUAGGAAGUACAGUCCCUUAACAUUUCGAAUACGAGAUGAAAUGAUAUAGUGGAGACAUGUAACAUGUGAGAGAGUGUGUAUGAAGUAGUUGGUAUGUGCGUGAUGUGGAGGUUUAUGAAAUUGGAGUAAUGUGGUAAUUAGAAAUGAUGAUGGUACUGAAGUAGUGAUGUUCUAGUUUUCGAAAGAAUGGAGUAACCGAUGGUGUAUGGUUUGAAGUAGAGUUAAAAACCUGAGUAAGGUGAAAUUGAUGUUAAAUUUUGUAUACGUGUUAUAAUACUAGGUUGUAGAAUGGUGCAGAGAAGGUAAAGAAAGGUUGUGUCAGUGUAGAGGUUAAUGUGUAGAUGAGGAAGUAAUACAGUACCCCAGAGAAAAUGUAAAAUAGUUAGGAAUGAGGUGUGGUAGUGAAGAGGUGUGAUGCAGUGAAGUCAAAUUGCUGUGUUUGGUGGUGAAUGGUUUGUGAACUACCUGAGUAAGGUGAAGUUGAUGUUAAAUUUUGUAUAGGUGUUAUAAUACAAGGUUGUAGAAUGGUACAGAAAAGGUAAAAAAAGGUUGUGUCAGUGUAGAGGUUAAUGUGUAGAUGAGGAAAUAAAACAGUACCCCAGAGAAAAUGUAAAAUUGUUAGGAAUGAGGUGUGGUAGUGAAGAGGUGUGAUGAAGUGAAGUCGAAUUGCUGAGUUUGAUGGUGAAUGGUUUGUGAACUAAUGUUGCCCCUGUCCGUCCUGCCUACAAGAUUAGAGUUUGGACAGUUAGUGAUACGGUGAUCUAGUAGUGUGUGUGACUCGACGAAAUGAUAAUCCAUUGAGGUGAAUAUGUAUUGUCCCAGAGAGUAUAAUAUCCUUUGAAGUUGGUAGAGAGAUGUACGAAUAGAAGACCAAUCAAAUAAUAAUUCACUUUGGAUAAGGUAGCGAGGAUGUGGGAAUUGAAGGCUAGUGUAGAAAGUAGAAAAGAGACAAAAGCAUGUUGGUUUGAUUGUUAUGAAAGAAAUUUUGUUCCCCCUGUAGAAUGAUCCCCUAAAAAUUAGGAUAGUUGAUAAGGGUUUAUAGGUUUAUUCUCAAAAUAUUUAGAAUGUAGGUGAUGUGUAUGAGCUGAAAACACUGAAAAGAGAGUAUUUUGUGAGAAUGGAGUUUAUAUGGUAUGAGGUGGAGAUUCCCUUGCCGAGGCAAUUGUUAAUCCUUGGAUGUUCCUUGUGUGAGCUAGUAGCAUGUUGGAGAUAUGAAUGUAAAUGAAAAAGUAGGUAUUGGUGCAGUUGUCACGCUAUGUAUGGCAGAGUAGGAGGAGACGUAGGUUGAGCAGAAAUGUGGAUGAUUUAUAAUAAUUGUUUGCGAGUUAAUCGUAGGUGCCCUGUGAAAAGAGGGAAGCCUGACUGAAGAUAGUAUAUCCAAGAGUAGAGUGAGUGAUGAUGUGUUGAUAAAGGCAAUGUGGGUACAAUGUUUAAAAGAGAGAUUGGAAGAAGGCAUAGAUUUAAGUAAAGUGAGAAAGAGUCCCAAGAAAUCUUAGAGGUGAAUGAACAAAGGUGUGGUUGGAGUGUAUAGACGUAAGAAACAAUGACUAGCAAGUUGAUGAUGUUUGAGACCUGUUAUGAAAUUUGAUCAUGAUAGUUGCAUUAUUGAGUUUUUUGAGAUUUGUAUGAGCCGGAUGAUGAGAGUAAGACCCGUGACUGUUUAAAUUAGGAAGAGAGUAGAAGGAGUGUGAAGACCCUAUUGCAGAUACAGAGCGAAAAGUAAAGUGUUGUUAUAGUGACAGUUGCAGUAUAUGUAAGGUGUACAGAAAGUGUAAUUGAUGGCCCUUCCCAUUGAGGUAUACAUGCUGAUUGUUGUUUGGAACGAGAAGCUCCCACGUAAAUCCAACAUUAUAGAAAUUAUGUUAAUUUACGAUGUGUGUCAAAAUGAUGUAGGUACCUGAUGUGAGGAGAAAUUUAGGAUGGAGGCAUGUGUGUGUGAGGACGUGGCCCUUUCCCAAGCCAUAGAAUUAAUUAUUUCAGUUAUGUGUGGUGGAGAAAAUGAUAGUGAGGAAGUAUUUAAGUGAGGAAGUAUUUAUGUGUGACGGGAUAAGAAGUAUUAUUGGUACUCCUAUUUGGCAGAUGAGUUGUACUGAUGUUGAGAACAGGAAAGGUUAAAAAUGUAGAUGAUGAAGGUGAAACUUGAUGUUGGUAAUGGAGAGUCGCUUUGUGGAGUGUGAUUGUGUUACAGUUAAAAUUUGUAGACGUUCUAAAGAGUCCACUUGUGGAGCGGUUAUUAGCUAUUGUGAAGUGAAAUACGGUGAAGAGUAGCAAAUAAAGAGACACUUGUGGGACCCAUGGUUAUUGAUAAGAUUGUAAAGAAGGUUUAUAUUGUGUCUGGUUAUUUUGUUUGUUGUGGCUUAGUGUAAAAGAAUUUACCCCUUUGACAUGUGUUAUGGAGGUAGAAAGGUGUAGGAAGUACAGUCCCUUAAUAUUUCGAAUACGAGAGGAAAUGAUAUAGUGGAGACAUGUAACGUGUGAGAGAGUGUGUAUGAAGUAGUUGGUAUGUGCGUAAUGUGGAGGUUUAUGAAAUUGGAGUAAUGUGGUAAUUAGAAAUGAUGAAGGUACUGAAGUAGUGAUGUUCUAGUUUUCGAAAGAAUGGAGUAACCGAUGGUGUAUGGUUUGAAGUAGAGUUAAAAACGUGAGUAAGAUGAAGUUGAUGUUAAAUUUUGUAUAGGUGUUAUAUUACAAGGUUGUAGAAUGGUGCAGAGAAGGUAAAAAAAGGUUGUGUCAGUGUAGAGGUUAAUGUGUAGAUGAGGAAAUAAAACAGUACCCCAGAGAAAAUGUAAAAAAAGUUAGGAAUGAGGUGUGGUAGUGAAGAGGUGUGAUGAAGUGAAGUCGAAUUGCUGUGUUUGGUGGUGAAUGGUUUGUGAACUAAUUUUGCCCCUGUACAUCCUGGCUACAAGAUUUGAGUUUGGACAGUUAGUGAUACGGUGAUCUAGUAGUGUGUGUGACUUGUGGAAAUGAUAAUCCAUAGAGGUGAAUAUGUAUUGUCCCAGAGAGUAAAAUAUCCUUUGAAGUUGGUAGAGAGAUGUACGAAUAGAAGACCAAUCAAAUAAUAUUUCGCCUUGGAUGAGGUAACGAGGAUGAGGGAAUUGAAAGCGAGUGUAGAAAGUAGAAAAGAGACAAAAUGCAUGUUGGUUUGAUUGUUAUGAAAUAAAUUUUGUUCCCCCUGUAGAUUGAUCCCCUAAAAAUUAGGAUAGUUGAUAAGGGUUUAUAGGUUUAUUCUCAAAAUAUUUAGAAUGUAGGUGAUGUGUAUGAGCUGAAAACACUGAAAAGAGAGUAUUUUGUGAGAAUGGAGUUUAUAUGGUAUAAGGUGGAGAUUCCCUUGCCGAGGCAAUUGUAAAUCCUUGGAUGUCCCUUGUGUGAGCUGGUAGCAUGUUGGAGAUAUGAAUGUAAAUGAAAAAGUAGGUAUUGGUGCAGUUGUCACGCUAUGUAUGGCAGAGUAGGAGGAGACCUGAGAUGAGCAGAAAUGUGGAUGAUUUAUAAUAACUGUUUGCGAGUUAAUCGUAGGUGCCCUGUGAAAAGAGGGAAGCCUGACUGAAGGUAGUAUAUCCAAGAGUAGAGUGAGUGAUGAUGUGUUGAUAAAGGCAAUGUUGGUACAAUGUUUAAAUGAGAGAUUGGAAGAAGGCAUAGGUUUAAGUAAAGUGAGAAAGAGUCCCAAGAGUUCUUAGAGGUGAAUGAACAAAGGUGUGGUUGGAGUGUAUAGGUGUAAGAGACAAUGACUAGCAAGUUGAUGAUGUUUGAGACCUGUUAUGAAAUUUGAUCAUGAGAGUUGCACUAUUGAGUUUUUGGAGAUUUGUAUGAGCCGGAUGAUGAGAGUAAGACCCGUGACUGUUUAAAUUAGGAAGAGAGUAGAAGGUGUUUGAAGAACCUAUUGCAGACGCAGAGCGAAAAGUAAAGUGUUGUUAUAGUGAAAGUUGCAGUAUAUGUAAGGUGUACAGAAAGUGUAAUUGAUGACCCUUCCCAUUGAGGUAUACAUGCUGUUUGUUGUUUGGAACGAGAAGUCCCACGUAAAUCCAACAUUAUAGAAAUUGUGUUAAUUUACGAUGUGUGUCAAAAUGAUGUAGAUACCUGAUGUGAGGUGAAAUUUAGGAUGGAGGCGUGUGUGUGUGAGGAUGUGGCCCUUUCCCAAGCCAUAGAAUUCAUUAUUUCAGUUAUGUGUGGUGGAGAAUAAUGAUAGUGAGGAAGUAUUUAUGUGUGACGGGAUAGGAAGUAUUAUUGGUAACCCUAUUUGGCAAAUGAGUUGUACUGAUGUUGAGAACAGGAAAUGUUAAAAAUGUAGAUGAUGAAGGUGAAACUUGAUGUUGGUAAUGGAGAGUCGCUUUGUGGAAAAUUUGUAGAAGUUCUAAAGAGUCCACUUGUGGAGCGGUUAUUAGCUAUUGUGAAGUGAAAUACAGUGAAGACUAGGAAAUAAAGAGACACUUAGCGACCCUUGGUUAUUGAUAAGGUUGUAAAGAAGGUUUAUAUUGUGUCUGGUUAUUUGUUUGUUGUGGCUUAGUGUAAAAGAAUUUACCCUUUGACAUGUGUUAUGGAGGUAGAAAGGUGUAGGAAGUACAGUCCCUUAAUAUUUCGAAUACGAGAGGAAAUGAAAUGAUAUAGUGGAGACAUGUAACGUGUGAGAGAGUGUGUAUUAAGUAGUUGGUAUGUGCGUGAUGUGGAGGUUUAUGAAAUUGGAGUAAUGUGAUAAUUAGAAAUGAUGAAGGUAAUGAAGUUGUGAUGUUCUAGUUUUCGAAAGAAUGGAGUAACUGAUGGUGUAUGGUUUGAAGUAGAGUUAAAAACCUGAGUAAGGUGAAGUUGAUGUUAAAUUUUGUAUAGGUGUGAUAAUACAAGGUUGGAGAAUGGUGCAGAGAAGGUAAAAAAACGUUGUGUCUGUGUAGAGGUUAAUGUUUAGAUGAGCAAGUAAAACAUUACCCCAGAGAAAAUGUAAAAAAGUUAGGAAUGAGGUGUGGUAGUGAAGAGGUAUGAUGAAGUGAAGUUGAAUUGCUGAGUUUGGUGGUGAAUGGUUUGUGAACUAAUGUUGCCCCUGUAUAUCCUGCCUACAAGAUUUGAGUUUGGACAGUUAGUGAUACGGUGAUCUAGUAGUGUGUGUGACUUGACGAAAUGAUAAUCCAUAGAGGUGAAUAUGUAUUGUCCCAGAGAGUAUAAUAUCCUUUGAAGUUGGUAGAGAGAUGUACGAAUAGAAGACCAAUCAAAUAAUAAUUCACUUUGGAUAAGGUAGCGAGGAUGAAGGAAUUGAAGGCUAGUGUAGAAAGUAGAAAAGAGACAAAAUGCAUGUUGGUUUGAUUGUUAUGAAAGAAAUUUUGUUCCCCCUGUAGAUUGAGCCCCUAAAAAUUAGGACAGUUGAUAAGGGUUUAUAGGUUUAUUCACAAAAUAUUUAGCAUGUAGGUGAUGUGUAUGAGCUGAAAACACUGAAAAGAGAGUAUUUUGUGAGAAUGGAGUUUAUAUGGUAUGAGGUGGAGAUUCCCUUGCCGAGGCAAUUGUUAAUCCUUGGAUGUCCCUUGUGUGAGCUGGUAGCAUGUUGGAGAUAUGAAUGUAAAUGAAAAAGUAGGUAUUGGUGCAGUUGUCACGCUAUGUAUGGCAGAGUAGGAGGAGACCUGAGUUGAGCAGAAAUGUGGAUGAUUUAUAAUAAUUGUUUGCGAGUUAAUCGUAGGUGCCCUGUGAAAAGAGGGAAGCCUGACUGAAGGUAGUAUAUCCAAGAGUAGAGUGAGUGAUGAUGUGUUGAUAAAGGCAAUGUUGGUACAAUGUUUAAAAGAGAGAUUGGAAGAAGGCAUAGGUUUAAGUGAAGUGAGAAAGAGUCCCAAGAGUUCUUAGAGGUGAAUGAACAAAGGUGUGGUUGGAGUGUAUAGGUGUAAGAGACAAUGACUAGCAAGUUGAUGAUGUUUGAGACCUGUUAUGAAAUUUGAUCAUGAGAGUUGCACUGUUGAGUUUUUGGAGAUUUGUAUGAGCCGGAUGAUGAGAGUAAGACCCGUGACUGUUUAAAUUAGGAAGAGAGUAGAAGGUGUUUGAAGACCCUAUUGCAGAUGCAGAGCGAAAAGUAAAGUGUUGUUAUAGUGACAGUAGCUGUAUAUGUAAGGAGUACAGAAAGUGUAAUUGAUGGCCCUUCCCAUUGAGGUAUACAUGCUGAUUGUUGUUUGGAACGAGAAGCUCCCACGUAAAUCCAACAUUAUAGAAAUUAUGUUAAUUUACGAUGUGUGUCGAAAUGAUGUAGAUACCUGAUGUGAGGUGAAAUUUAGGAUGGAGGCGUGUGUGUGUGGGGACGUAGCUCUUUCCCAAUCCAUAGACCUAAUUAUUUCAGUAAUGUGUGGUGGAGAACAAUGAUAGUGAGGAUGUAUUUGUGUGUGACGGGAUAAAAAGUUUUCUUGGUACCCCUAUUUGGCAAAUGAGUUGUACUGAUGUAGAGAACAGGAAAUGUUAAAAAUGUUUGAUGAUGAAGGUGAAACUUGAUGAUGGUAAUGGAGAGUCGCUUUGUGGAGUGUGAUUGUGUUACUAUUAAAAUUUGUAGAAGUUCUAAAGAGUCCACUUGUGGAGAGGUUAUUAGCUAUUGUGAAGUGAAAUACAGUGAAGACUAGUAAAUAAAAUGACACUUGAGGGACCCUUGGUUAUUGAUAAGGUUGUAAAGAAUGUUUAUAUUGUGUCUGGUUAUUUGUUUGUUGUGGCUUAGUGUAAAAGAAUUUACCCUUUGACAUGUGUUAUGGGGGUAGAAAGGUGUAGGAAGUACAGUCCCUUAAUAUUUCGAAUACGAGAGGAAAUGAAAUGAUAUAGUGGAGACAUGUAACGUGUGAGAGAGUGUGUAUGAAGUAGUUGGUAUGUGCGUGAUGUGGAGGUUUAUGAAAUUGGAGUAAUGUGAUAAUUAGAAAUGAUGAAGGUAAUGAAGUUGUGAUGUUCUAGUUUUCGAAAGAAUGGAGUAACUGAUGGUGUAUGGUUUGAAGUAGAGUUAAAAACCUGAGUAAGGUGAAGUUGAUGUUAAAUUUUGUAUAGGUGUGAUAAUACAAGGUUGGAGAAUGGUGCAGAGAAGGUAAAAAAACGUUGUGUCUGUGUAGAGGUUAAUGUUUAGAUGAGCAAGUAAAACAUUACCCCAGAGAAAAUGUAAAAAAGUUAGGAAUGAGGUGUGGUAGUGAAGAGGUGUGAUGAAGUGAAGUCGAAGUGCUGAGUUUGGUGAUGAAUGCUUUGUGAACUAAUGUUGCUCCUGUCCGUUCUGCCUACAAGAUUAGAGUUUGGACAGUUAGUGAUUCGGUGAUCUAGUAGUGUCUGUGACUUGACGAAAUGAUAAUCCGUAGAGGUGAAUAUGUAUUGUCCCAAAGAGUAUAAUAUCCUUUGAAGUUGGUAGAGAGAUGUACGAAUAGAAGACCAAUAAAAUAAUAAUUCACUUUGGAUAAGGUAGCGAGGAUGAGGGAAUUGAAAGCGAGUGUAGAAAGUAGAAAAGAGACAAAAUGCAUGUUGGUUUGAUUGUUAUGAAAGAAAUUUUGUUCCUCUGUAGAAUGAUACCCUAAAAAUUAGGAUAGUUGAUAAGGGUUUAUAGGUUUCUUCUCAAAAUAUUUAGAAUGUAGGUGAUGUGCAUGAGCUGAAAACACUGAAAAGAGGGUAUUUUGUGAGAAUGGAGUUUAUUUGGUAUGAGGUGGAGAUUCCCUUGCCGAGGCAAUUGUUAAUCCUUGGAUGUCCCUUGUGUGAGCUGGUAGCAUGUUGGAGAUAUGAAUGUAAAUGAAAAAGUAGGUAUUGGUGCAGUUGUCACGCUAUGUAUGGCAGAGUAGGAGGAGACCUGAGUUGAGCAGAAAUGUGGAUGAUUUAUAAUAAUUGUUUGCGAGUUAAUCGUAGGUGCCCUGUGAAAAGAGGGAAGCCUGACUGAAGAUAGUAUAUCCAAGAGUAGAGUGAGUGAUGAUGUGUUGAUAAAGGCAAUGUGGGUACAAUGUUUAAAAGAGAGAUUGGAAGAAGGCAUAGAUUUAAGUAAAGUGAGAAAGAGUCCCAAGAAAUCUUAGAGGUGAAUGAACAAAGGUGUGGUUGGAGUGUAUAGACGUAAGAAACAAUGACUAGCAAGUUGAUGAUGUUUGAGACCUGUUAUGAAAUUUGAUCAUGAUAGUUGCAUUAUUGAGUUUUUUGAGAUUUGUAUGAGCCGGAUGAUGAGAGUAAGACCCGUGACUGUUUAAAUUAGGAAGAGAGUAGAAGGAGUGUGAAGACCCUAUUGCAGAUACAGAGCGAAAAGUAAAGUGUUGUUAUAGUGACAGUUGCAGUAUAUGUAAGGUGUACAGAAAGUGUAAUUGAUGGCCCUUCCCAUUGAGGUAUACAUGCUGAUUGUUGUUUGGAACGAGAAGCUCCCACGUAAAUCCAACAUUAUAGAAAUUAUGUUAAUUUACGAUGUGUGUCAAAAUGAUGUAGGUACCUGAUGUGAGGAGAAAUUUAGGAUGGAGGCAUGUGUGUGUGAGGACGUGGCCCUUUCCCAAGCCAUAGAAUUAAUUAUUUCAGUUAUGUGUGGUGGAGAAAAUGAUAGUGAGGAAGUAUUUAAGUGAGGAAGUAUUUAUGUGUGACGGGAUAAGAAGUAUUAUUGGUACUCCUAUUUGGCAGAUGAGUUGUACUGAUGUUGAGAACAGGAAAGGUUAAAAAUGUAGAUGAUGAAGGUGAAACUUGAUGUUGGUAAUGGAGAGUCGCUUUGUGGAGUGUGAUUGUGUUACAGUUAAAAUUUGUAGACGUUCUAAAGAGUCCACUUGUGGAGCGGUUAUUAGCUAUUGUGAAGUGAAAUACGGUGAAGAGUAGCAAAUAAAGAGACACUUGUGGGACCCAUGGUUAUUGAUAAGAUUGUAAAGAAGGUUUAUAUUGUGUCUGGUUAUUUUGUUUGUUGUGGCUUAGUGUAAAAGAAUUUACCCCUUUGACAUGUGUUAUGGAGGUAGAAAGGUGUAGGAAGUACAGUCCCUUAAUAUUUCGAAUACGAGAGGAAAUGAUAUAGUGGAGACAUGUAACGUGUGAGAGAGUGUGUAUGAAGUAGUUGGUAUGUGCGUAAUGUGGAGGUUUAUGAAAUUGGAGUAAUGUGGUAAUUAGAAAUGAUGAAGGUACUGAAGUAGUGAUGUUCUAGUUUUCGAAAGAAUGGAGUAACCGAUGGUGUAUGGUUUGAAGUAGAGUUAAAAACCUGAGUAAGGUGAAGUUGAUGUUAAAUUUUGUAUACGUGUUAUAAUACAAGGUCGUAGAAUGGUGCAGAGAAGGUAAAAAAAGGUUGUGUCAGUGUAGAUGUUAAUGUGUAGAUGAGGAAGUAAUACAGUACCCCAGAGAAAAUGUAAAAUAGUUAGGAAUGAGGUGUGGUAGUGAAGAGGUGUGAUGAAGUGAAGUCAAAUUGCUGUGUUUGGUGGUGAAUGGUUUGUGAACUACCUGAGUAAGGUGAAGUUGAUGGUAAAUUUUGUAUAGGUGUUAUAAUACAAGGUUGUAGAAUGGUGCAGAGAAGGUAAAAAAAGGUUGUGUCAAUGUAGAUGUUAAUGUUUAGAUGAGGAAAUGAAACAGUACGCCUGAGAAAAUGUAAUAAACUUAGGAAUGAGGUGUGGUAGUGAAGAGGUGUGAUGAAGUGAAGUCGAAUUGCUGAGUUUGGUGGUGAAUGGUUUGUGAACUAAUGUUGCCCCUGUCUGUCCUGCCUACAAGAUUAGAGUUUGGACAGUUAGUGAUACGGUGAUCUAGUAGUGUGUGAGACUGGACGAAAUGAUAAUCCAUUGAGGUGAAUAUGUAUUGUCCCAGAGAGUAUAAUAUCCUUUGAAGUUGGUAUAGAGAUGUACGAAUAGAAGACCAAUCAAAUAAUAAUUCACUUUGGAUGAGGUAGCGAGGAUGAGGGAAUUGAAAGCGAGUAUAGAAAGUGAAGAAGAGAAAAAAUGGAUGUUGGUUUGAUUGUUAUGAAAGAAAUUUUGUUCCCCCUGUAGACUGAUCCCCUGAAAAUUAGGAUAGUUGAUAAGGGUUUAUAGGUUUAUUCUCAAAAUAUUUGGAAUGUAGGUGAUGUGUAUGAGCUGAAAACACUGAAAAGAGAAUAUUUUGUGAGAAUGGAGUUUAUAGGGUAUGAGGCAGAGAUUCCCAUUGCCCAGUCAAUUCCUAACCCUUGGAUGUCCCUUGUGUGAGCUGGUAGCAUGUUGGAGAUAUGAAAGUAAAUGAAAAAGUAUGUAUUGGUGCAGUUGACACGCUAUGUAUGGCAGAGUAGGAGGAGACCUGAGUUGAGCAGAAAUGUGGAUGAUUUAUAAUAAUUGUUUGCGAAUUAAUUGUAGGUGCCCUGUGAAAAGAGGGAAGUCUGACUGAAUGUAAAGAGUAGAGUGAGUCAUGAUGCGUUGAUAAAUGCAAUGUGGGUACAAUGUUUAAAUGAGAGAUUGGAGGAAGGCAUAAGUUUAAGUAGUGAGAAUGAGUCCCAAGAGUUCUUAGUGGUGAAUGAACAAAGGUGUGGUCUGAGUGUAUAGAUGUAAGAAACAAUGACUAGCAAGUUGGUAAUGUUUGAGACCUGUUAUGAAAUGUGAUCAUGAGAGUUGCAUUAUUGAGUUUAUGAAGUUUUGUAUGAGCGAGGUGAUGAGAGUAAGACCCGUGACUGUUUAAAUUAGGAAGAGAGUAGAAGGUGUUUGAAGACCCUAUUGCAGAUGCAGAGAGAAAAGGAAAGUGUUGUUGUAGUGAAAGUUGCAGUAUAUGUAAGGUGUACAGAAAGUGUAAUUGAUGGCACUUCCCAUUGAGGUAUACAUGCUGAUUGUUGUUUGGAAUGAGAAGCUCCCACAUAAAUCCAACAUUAUGGAAAUUAUGUUAAUUUACGAUGUGUGUCGAAAUGAUGUAGAUACCUGAUGUGAAGUGAAAUUUAGGAUGGAGGCGUGUGUGUGUGAGGACGUGGCCCUUUCCCAAGCAAGAGAAUUAAUUAUAUCAGUUAUGUGUGGUGGAGAAUAAUGAUAGUGAGGAAUUAUUUAUGUGUGACGGGAUAAGAAGUUUUAUUGGUAUCCCUAUUUGGCAAAUGAGUUGUACUGAUGUUGAGAACAGGAAAUGUUAAAAAUGUAGAUGAUGAAGGUGAAACAUGAUGUUGGUAAUGGAGAGUCGCCUUGUGGAGCGUGAUAGUGUUAGUAUUAAAAUUUAUAGAAGUUAUAAAGAGUCCACUUGUGGAGCGGUUAUUAGCUAUUGUGAAGUGAAAUACAGUGAAGACUAGUUAAUAAAGAGACACUUGAGCAACCCUUGGUUAUUGAUAAGAUUGUAAAGAAGGUUUAUAUUGUGUCUGGUUAUUUUGUUUGUCGUGGCUUAGUGUAAAAGUAUUACCCUUUGAGAUGUGUUAUGGAGGUAGAAAGGUGUAGGAAGUACAGUCCCUUAAUAUUUCGAAUACGAGAGGAAAUGAUAUAGUGGAGAGAUGUAACUUGUGAGAGAGUGUGUAUGAAGUAUAUGGUAUGUGCAGGAUGUGGAGGUUUAUGAAAUUGGAGUAAUGUGGUAAUUAGAAAUGAUGAAGGUACUGAAGUAGUGAUGUUCUAGUUUUCGAAAGAAUGGAGUAACCGAUGGUAUAUGGUUUGAAGUAGAGUUAAAAACCUGAGUAAGGUGAAGUUGAUGUUAAAUUUUGUAGAGGUGGUAUAAUACGAGGUUGAAGAAUAGUGCAGAGAAGAAAAAAAAAGUUGCGUCAGUGUAGAGGUUAAUGUUUAGAUGAGGAAAUAAAACAGUACCCCUGAGAAAAUGUAAAAAAGUUAGGAAUGAGGUGUGGUAGUGAAGAGGUGUGAUGAAGUGAAGUCGAAUUGCUGAGUUUGGUGGUGAAUGGUUUGUGAACUAAUGUUGCCCCUGUACGUCCUGCCUACAAGAUUUGAGUUUGGACAGUUAGUGAUAUGGUGAUCUAGUAGUGUGUGGGACUUGACGAAAUGAUAAUCCGUAGAAGUGAAUAUGUAUUGUCCCAGAGAGUAAAAUAUCCUUAGAAACUGGUAGAGAUAUGUACGAAUAGAAAACCAAUCAAAUAUUAAUUCACUUUGGAUGAGGUAGCGAGGAUGAGGGAAUUGAAAGCGAGUAUAGAAAGUAAAAAAGAGAAAAAAUGGAUGUUGGUUUGAUAGUUAUGAAAGAAAUUUGAUUCCCCCUGUAGAUUGAUCCCCUAAAAAUUAGGACAGUUGAUAAGGGUUUAUAGGUUUAUUCUCAAAGUAUUUGGAAUGUAGGUGAUGUGUAUGAGCUGAAGACACUGAAAAGAGAGUAUUUUGUGAGAAUGGAGUUUAUAGGGUAUGAAGUGUAGAUUCCCAUGCCCUGUCAAUUCUUAAUCCUUGGAUGUCCCUUGUGUGAGCUGGUAGCAUGUUGGAGAUAUGAAUGUAAAUGAAAAAGUAGGUAUUGGUGCAGUUGACACGCUAUGUAUGGCAGAGUAGGAGGAGACCUGAGUUGAGCAGAAAUGUGGAUGAUUUAUAAUAAUUGUGUGCGAGCUAAUCAUAGGUGACCUGUGAAAAGAGGGAAGUCUGGCUGAAGGUAGUAUAUCCAAGAGUAGAGUGAGUGAUGAUGUGUUGAUAAAGGCAAUGUGGGUACAAUGUUUAAAAGAGAGAUUGGAAGAAGGCAUAGGUUUAAGUAAAGUGAGAAUGAGUCCCAAGAGUUCUUAGAGGUGAAUGAACAAAGCUGUGGUUGCAGUGUAUAGAUGUAAGAAACAGUGACUAGCAAGUUGGUAAUGUUUGAGACCUGUUAUGGAAUUUGAUCAUGAGAGUUGCAUUACUGAGUUUUUGGAGUUUUGUAUGAGCCAAGUGAUGAGAUUAAGACCCGUGACUGUUUAAAUUAGGAAGAGAGUAGAAGGUGUUUGAAGACCCUAUUGCAGAUGCAGAGAAAAGGAAAGUGUUGUUGUAGUGAAAGUUGCAGUAUAUGUAAGGUGUACAAAAAGUGUAAUUGAUGGCCCUUCCCAUUGAGGUAUACAUGCUGAUUGUUGUUUGGAACGAGAAGCUCGCACGUAAAUGCAACAUUAUAGAAAUUAUGUUAAUUUACGAUGUGUGUCGAAACGAUGUAGAUACCUGAUGUGAGGUGAAAUUUAGGAUGGAGGGGUGUGUGUGUGUGAGGACGUGGCCCUUUCCCAACCUAUAGAAUUAUUUAUUUGAGUUAUGUGUGGUGGAGAAUAAUGAUUGUGAGGAAUUAUUUAUGUGUGACGGGAUAAGAAGUUGUAUUGGUACCCCUAUUUGGCAUAUGAGUUGUACUCAUGUUGAGAACAGGAAAUGUUAAAAAUGUAGAUGAUGAAGGUGAAACCUGAUGUUGGUAAUGGAGAGUCACUUUGUGGAGUGUGAUUGUGUUAGUAUUAAAAUUUAUAGAAGUUAUAAAGAGUCCACUUGUGGAGCGGUUAUUAGCUAUUGUGAAGUGAAAUACAGUGAAGACUAGUAAAUAAAGAGACACUUGAGCGACCCUUGGUUAGUGAUAAGAUUGUAGAGAAGGUUUAUAUUGUGUCUUGUUAUUUUGUUUGUUGUGGCUUACUGUAAAAGUAUUUACCCUUUGAGAUGUGUUAUGGAGGUAGAAAGGUGUAGGAAGUACAGUCCCUUAAUAUUACGAAUACCAGAGGAAAUGGUGUAGUGGAGACAUGUAACGUGUGAGAGAGUGUGUAUGAAUUAGUUGGUAUGUGCGUGAUGUGGAGGUUUAUAAAAUUGGAGUAAUGUGGUGAUUAGAGAUGAUGAAGGUAAUGAAGUAGUGAUGUUCUGCUUUUUUAAAGAAUGGAGUAACCGAUGGUGUAUGGUUUAAA